GUGGUGGCGCUGAAUAAUAAGGCGCUGUGCUUGAUGUAUUCGAGGGAUUUGUCGGAUUCGAUUAAGCUGUUGGAGGGGGCGUUGGAGAGGGUGCCGACGGCAGCGGUGAACGAGACACUGGUGGUGAAUCUGUGUAGUAUGUAUGAGUUGGCGUAUGUUAAUCAUGGAGAGAUUAAGAAGUCGCUUAGUAAUUGGAUUGCAAGGGUGGC
rnacentral:misc_RNA from 1 species